rnacentral:rRNA from 1 species
AUGAGCCGCUCGGCCGCUGCGGGCGACGACCGGCAGAAGGCCGCAUGCCUCGCGAUCGCCGCCUCUACCUCCGCCGUGGCCGAUCCUCCUCCGCCGGCGCCAGCCGCGGCGAGCUCCUCGCCCACGGCGUCGCCGCAUAGGCCGCACAGCCACCGCCCGGCGUACUGCGCGCGCACGCCGGCCGCGUACGCCGCAGUGCACUCCUCCCUGAGCCCGCAGCACGCGCACGCCGCCCACUCCACCUCGGCCGCCGAGGCAGCCUCGAUGGGCGGCGCCACGUCCUGCGCAACCACCGCCGACAUGCCAGCACGGUGGGAAACCUCCCUCUUCUUGGAUCCUGGUCGAGGACGGCUCUAG